rnacentral:lncRNA from 1 species
GGCUGGGGCAGGGAGGCUGCCCCGCUGUUGGAGGAAGAGGUGGAAGGCCUCCGGGGACCCAGGCGUGACCCACACAAGGUGGCAGGAGGAGGGUGCUGGGUGCAGAGGGGUCUGGCCCUCCCCUACUCACCCCCUGACCUGCAGGCUGGCAGGAGGCGGAGGGGAGCCUCAACGCCGCGGAGGGUUGAAGCCGGAGGCCUCGGAGAGGAGGUGACUGAGGCGGACGGUGGGUCCCAGACGGGCGUCCCACGGUACAUCGGUCAGCUGUGGCCGUGCGACAAACCACCCGGAACCUCAGCGGCACCGAACAAGAAGCAUUGGUUUCUUACGGCCCACCGGGCUUCAGCAAGAUCGAGGUUGGACCUGGCAGAUCUUGGCUUCCCCCUGAGGGCCGGGCCCGGGUCUGCCCCAUGCGUCCCUCUCGCUCUCUUUGGACGCGGCUACCCAAGGCGUGUUGUCCCAGUGAUGGCAGAAGGGCCGCUGGGAAAGCCUCGUGGGCAGGCACAUUCGAAGGUGCUCAUGGCGUGGUCGCCAGCAUCCCUCUGGCCAAAGCAAGUCACGUGGCCAUGUUGGACACCGACAGGUCGCAGAAAGGGAAGUGUGCAUCACCUUGGAGGAGACGGGCAGGGAGAGAAUGUUUUUUGCCCAAUAAUCUCAUCUGGUACAUUCUAUAAACUUUAAAAAUAUUUUUAAAAGUUUGUUUAUUUUGAGAGAGAGAGAGAGAGAGAGCGAGUGGGGAAGGGGCAGAGAGAGAGAAGGAGAGAGAGAGAAUCCCAAGCAGGCGCCGCACCAUCAGCACAGAGCCCGACACGGGGCUCGAACUCAUGAACCGUGAGAUCGUGACCUGAGCCAAAGUCAGACACUUAACUGACUGAGCCACCCAGGCGCCCCUUUUCUAUAAACUUUUGAACCAAAGAAGGCAUUUUCUUUUCCCCCUCCAAAACUCGAAAAUGACUGGUUGGGAUCAUGGCGUUCAGCAAAUCUUUCUGGAAAAUCAUCUUGGGGUCUUAGUCUGUACCUGGAGUGUCAUCGAGUGACCCUGUGGCUGCUGCCUCUUAUCACAGCCCGCCUGGCCCCAGCUUGCCUCUGCUCUCACUGCCUCCCCUGCGGGCCUGACCCGGACGAUGGACCUCAUUCAUCCCCGACACAAGUUGUUAAGAGAGAAAGAGAGACUUAAAAAAAAAGCCGCUGGGGUUCGAAUGCGGAUCCUGCCACUUAGAGGCCACGUGGCCUGGAGAAUGUUCUUUAGCCUCUUUAAGCCUUGGGCUCACUGUGCAUGAAAUGGGCAUGACAUUGGAACUUUUCUAAGCGUUUUUUAAGUUUUACUUUUAAUGUUAUUUAUUUUUUGAGAGAGAGAGCGCAAGCAGGGGAGGGGCCGAGAAAGGGGGAGACACAGAAUCCGAAGCAGGCUCCAGGCUCCGAGCUGUCAGCACAGAGCCCCACGCGGGGCUCGAACCCAGGAACCGUGAGAUCAUGACCUGAGCCAAAGUCGGACACUCAACCGACUGAGCCCCCCGGGCGCCCCGAGAACUUUUGGUCUUGUGAGGAUGAAGUUUGCACAAGAAAGUAAAGCCCUUAGUCGAAUUGUAGGAGCCCAGGAGGCUUUUGGUAGGUAUGAGGUUACAGCAGUCACGCCCCCACACUGGGACCCACCGUGUCCUUCCUGAUAAGUCCUGUGAUG